GAUGAACGCUGGCGGCGUGCCUAAUACAUGCAAGUCGAGCGAACGGACGAGAAGCUUGCUUCUCUGAUGUUAGCGGCGGACGGGUGAGUAACACGUGGAUAACCUACCUAUAAGACUGGGAUAACUUCGGGAAACCGUAGCUAAUACCGGAUAAUAUUUUGAACCGCAUGGUUCAAAAGUGAAAGACGGUCUUGCUGUCACUUAUAGAUGGAUCCGCGCUGCAUUAGCUAGUUGGUAAGGUAACGGCUUACCAAGGCAACGAUGCAUAGCCGACCUGAGAGGGUAAUCGGCCACACUGGAACUGAGACACGGUCCAGACUCCUACGGGAGGCAGCAGUAGGGAAUCUUCCGCAAUGGGCGAAAGCCUGACGGAGCAACGCCGCGUGAGUGAUGAAGGUCUUCGGAUCGUAAAACUCUGUUAUUAGGGAAGAACAAAUGUGUAAGUAACUAUGCACGUCUUGACGGUACCUAAUCAGAAAGCCACGGCUAACUACGUG
rnacentral:rRNA from 1 species